GGACCCUUUAAAGAUUUUCUGGGAAGAGAGAGAUCAUUGAAUUACCAUCAUGCUGCAAAUCUUUUUCAUUUGUCUGGCCUUGUGUAUUUUUGAAGAGUCCAGUGGGCAGAUUGUAGUCACUCAGACCCCAGCCUCUUUACAGAAAAAUCCUGGAGACACAGCCACCUUUCAGUGCAAAGCUUCCUCUUCAGUGGGUAAUUAUAUGAACUUCUAUCAGAUGAUACCAGGAGAAAAACCCAAGCUGCUGAUUUAUUAUGCUACCAACCGUUUUGAGCAGACCCCUGAUCGCUUCAGUGGCCGCGGGAGUGGCACUGACUUCACAUUCACUAUCAAUAGUGUCCGUCCUGAGGAUGAAGGGGAGUACCACUGUGGGCAAAGCAACAGCUACCCUCUACACAGUGAUACACUUCAGUACAAAAAUCAGAUCUAA